GGAGCAGGGAGCAGGUCGCCUGGCGCACGCCCCCCCCUGCCCGCCUGGUGGGCGGCUCCGCCUCUUUCUCUGGAGGAAAGCUCCAGAUGCGCUAAUCCCCAGCUGGGCCAGAUUUGCCGGCGGCUCCCCUCCUGCAGCCCAGAGCUCCCGCGGCUGCGGGUGGGGUGGUCUGGUCUCCACCUCCCCUCUCCCACCUGAGGGUCAAGGGCCAGCCAGGCCGCCCGCUUUGAGAUGGGCCCGUUCCCAGGGAACGCGGGCACCUCUGAGCCCCGUCUUCCUGUCCCCUGGGAAUGAUGAGAAGAGCUCAUGGGCUGCAGCAGCUCAGCCACCUCCCUGCCACUCAGCCGGUCCUACUGCAAGUCCGCCUCCUGAGCUCAGAACAGCCCUCCCCACUGCUGGCUCACUCAGGAGACCCCAGGAGCUGGGACUGGAAUCAAUCCUCAGCCCAGACAAAGGAACUGAGGCCCAGAGCCCCCAGGUUAGUAGAGGCAGAAUCAUUCUUUUAAAAUGACUGAAGCAGCCCAGAGAGGUGAAGUGGCUGGCCUAAGGUGGCACAGCACAGGAGAGGCAGGGUAAAUGACGCCUGAGGGGCAGAUCCAGGAGGAACGGCAGGCUUCAGAGGGUGGGCUCCGCCCCCCAGAGCAGCCCAGGCUUGUCAGAACGCAGACUCCUG
rnacentral:lncRNA from 1 species